UGGUAAAUGAGGCCCCAUUAAAUGCCACAGCUCAUGUUUACAACACACCCAACAGGAGUUUAGGGUCACUGUGACAAGGGGCACAAAACUUACGACUUCUCUUUGAGCAAAUGUCCCACACAU
rnacentral:snoRNA from 1 species